rnacentral:rRNA from 1 species
GACGGAGGGUGCAAGCGUUAUCCGGAAUGAUUGGGCGUAAAGCGUCCGCAGGCGGCAGUUCAAGUCUGCUGUCAAAGACCGGGGCUUAACUUCGGAAAGGCAGUGGAAACUGAACAGCUAGAGUAUGGUAGGGGCAGAGGGAAUUCCUGGUGUAGCGGUGAAAUGCGUAGAGAUCAGGAAGAACAUCGGUGGCGAAGGCGCUCUGCUGGACCAUAACUGACACUCAGGGACGAAAGCUAGGGGAGCGAAUGGG